ACUUGAUGAUUACCUGUUCUGUUCAUUACCUCUGGGGCACCUGGCAUUGGCCACUGUUGGUAGACAGGAUACUGGGCUAGAUGGACCUUUGAUCUGACCCAGUAUGGCCGUUCUUAUGUUCUUACAAUAGAUCGUUUUAAAUCUGAUUAGGAAGGGUAAUGAUAGUAGUUUACCAACUUCACAUACCCUGUUUCUCCCCCGCCCCUGAACAUACAUACAUUCCUAUAACUCAAGAACAGCUUUGAUUUGGAAGCCCAUAUUUAGGAAGUUAUUAGUCUAUAAUGUGGAGUCAUUUGUUUGUUUGCUAUUUUUUAAUUGUAAACUGUUUUAAAAAGUGGCUAGAAAGACAUGACAAGCAGCACACAAGAGCCAAUUCCCGCUUUCUCCCAUGAACAUGCAGUUCCUUAUUGUCUUCAAGGGGAAUUGUGCAUGCAUAUGUGAGGAUAGAACUUGGCCCUAUAUAAAGUUCAGAUUCCUCUGGAUUUCCAGCAUCUGGACGCAAGAAAAACUGCAAGGUCUGUGAAUGCUGAAGUUUCUCUGGCUAGGUACUUAAGAGCUCUGAAGGAAGGGGGAAAAAAAGAAAAAAAUUAAAAACACCCUAUGCUGUUUUCCUAAUUCUGAGAUGAAAUGAUGCUUUAUUAGGGAACACUAUUGAAACUUAUUUGUAAACACUUGAUAAUACAAGGGACUAUUUUGUGUUUGUCUUUUUAUUUUUUGCAACAAAUGGUUGAAUUGCAUUUUAGAUGCAAUAUAAAGAGAAAGCAGUUUAAUAGUUAAAGAGCAAGUCAUUCAAAGGAGUUUGAGGGGUUUUAUAGUUCUAUGUUCAUGCAAAAAAAUUAAAUAUAUUCUGUACACUUCUAAUUUGUUGGUUUCACAUUGAGUGGCAAACAGAGGUAUGUAAUGUUUAACCAUUAUCGAACCAUUGAUCACGUCAAACAGAUAUGAAAUCUGCAGGCUUCUUUGAAAGAAAAGGACGGUUGAUAGCAAUGGGUGUAUUUCUCCUUUUAAAGACUGUCUUGGGGCAUAGUGUGUGUGUGUGUGUGUGUGUGUGUGUAUGUGUGUGUGUGUGUGUGUGUGUGUGUGUAAGAGUGAGAAUGAGAGCUGGGAAUUGUAAAAAAAAUUGUAAAGUAGAAAAGGACAUGUUUCUUAGACGAAGGACAAAUACUGUAAAAUUGUGUAAAUGUCACUACUCAUGUUUUCUCAUGUUGUGUGUAGCAUAGUGUAAAAUAGGCUUUUCAGCAGUGUUAUUCUGUGAAUUGUAAUUUAAAAACAAGCCAUGCAUGGUCAAAGAUAUUAUCUACAGGUCCUUUUUCAUUUGUUUGUUUUUCUCAUUUUAGGUAAAGAUGUUUUGUUAUAUGUUAAAUUUAAUUGUCCAUGAAACUGCUUUUUGUUUCUCAGUUUUACUUCAUAAAUAACUUGAAUUACUGUUUAAGAAUUUACUACACACAAGCACUCCUUCAUUUGUAUCCAUCCUUAGGAAGCUUUGUCACUACAUUGAGUAUAACCCAGGGGAUUUUCCUUUUUAACACACCCCUCUUUUGCCUCUCCUCCCCCACUCCAUCCCUUCCUCACAUUCUAGAAAAUGCAGUCUCUCUUUUUUCCGUGCCAUGCAGGGUCAACAUGAGAAACUGACCUCAGACCUGUGUCCAAAAUUUCUUGAUAUAAGUAGUAACAAAGCUCACCUCUACAGCAUUAUGUAAACACAUCUUGCAAUAAAGCUUUCUAAAGCAC